ensembl:lncRNA
GAGGGCGGCAAGACCUUCAGUACAUUGGCAGUGACAGAUGGCAAUCACAUUGGCUAAAACCAGAAGAGAGAGACAGACAAAGUUUAUAUGUGGACCUCACAAGUGGAACAAGAGGGGUUUGGAUUACAGAGCUGUCAGUCAAUCACUCUGGUCUAGAUAUGGACCCACCAGGAAACGAGCAAACAGAUGGCUUGGUGUCUUGAGAAUGAAGCUUCCUCACCCACCCCCAACAAACCCCGAAAAUAAACCAUUGGUAAGAUACUGUAAGCCCCUUGGAUUUGUUUAAAUUCCUCAUCCAGAAUAAUGCAAAAUUCACCACAAUUUACUGCCGGUUCUUAAUCUUGUGAAUUAACCAUUGCCUCUGGUUUUUCUGGAUUUCCAGGAUUUUCUGAUUGAUUACAGUACGUUACUUCUGAUGUGUUAGGAUACAAAGCAAGUUCUCAUUUUGAAAUGACAUUAAAUAUUUAAUAGAAAACACAAAGACACUUUACAAAUAUUUGAUUCCAAAUUGCAAAUGGGAUGAGCUUUAUUUUCGGGGCAGGCGUCUGAUCCUGUGGACCUAAAUCUGUUGAGGGGACUGCUGGGUUUAUACUCAAGCAGGUGUCCCCACCGACAUCUGUCUCAGUUCUCAAGGGACCACCAGCAGAUCAGCAGCAACCUUCUGACAUUAUAGAAGACAAGGAUGAACUUUAUUCACAUCUAAAAAGGUACAUAUUCUAGAUGUUUUGUGAGAAGCUGUAUUUGAAUUGCAUUUUGGGCAGCGGGGGAUAGGGGGUUAGAUACUAGCUUUUUUUCCCUUUACAGUUUGGUGCAUUCAUGAAUUUCUUUGUCAAAUAGUGUAUGUUCAGUUUAAAAAGCUUUUUGAUCAUUUAGAAAUUAAUAGAUUUUUAACGUUGUGAAAUCGCUCUGUUUAUAUCGUUUGCACAACAAAGCAAUAAGAUGCUUCAUCAAAUAUUUAUUUAGUUUUCAUUACCCAUUUUCUUGUGAAAUUUAACCAGGCAGGGAAAAAAAAAUCCCAAAAGCUAUAUGAAGUAUUGAUCUAUGCCCAUCUAAAAUUAAGCAGUACCUCACAAAGAAUUAAUUUCAUAAGGAAAUAAUUUCACUCCUUACACUGUCCUCAUACAUUUAUCGUGUUCUUGUUGGAAUUGGUCAAGAUUCUGCUCAUUUCUCCCCCCUCUUGACCUGGAUAAUAAGAUUAAAAAGCCCUCUGAUCAGUAAUGCAUGCAACAUCUCCGAGGGAAUAUUUUGAAAGCUCUGAGUGUUUGGUGUAUAAUGCUGACUGUAAA